AGGGUAUGGCGUAAUUGGUAUCGUAUUUGCUUUGGGUGUAAAAUAUUGAAGGUUCGAAUCCUUCUACCCUAAA
rnacentral:tRNA from 1 species